GAUGAACGCUAGCGGCAGGCUUAAUACAUGCAAGUCGUGGGGCAGCAUGAAUGUAGCAAUACAUUUGAUGGCGACCGGCAAACGGGUGCGGAACACGUACACAACCUUCCUAUAAGUGGGGAAUAGCCCAGAGAAAUUUGGAUUAAUACCCCGUAACAUAAUGAUGUGGCAUCACAUUAUUAUUAUAGCUUCGGCGCUUAUUGAUGGGUGUGCGGCUGAUUAGAUAGUUGGCGGGGUAACGGCCACCAAGUCUACGAUCAGUAGCUGAUGUGAGAGCAUGAUCAGCCACACGGGCACUGAGAGACGGGCCCGACUCCUACGGGAGGCAGCAGUAAGGAAUAUUGGUCGAUGGACGCAAGUCUGAACCAGCCAUGCCGCGUGAAGGAUUAAGGUCCUCUGGAUUGUAAACUUCUUUUAUCUGGGACGAAAAAAGGCGAUUCUUCGUCACUUGACGGUACCAGAUGAAUAAGCACCGGCUAACUCCGUGCCAGCAGCCGCGGUAAAAC
rnacentral:rRNA from 1 species